rnacentral:misc_RNA from 1 species
AAUCUUCAAAACCCUUUUCUUUGAUCCAUUUUGGUCGGGAAAAGGAUUUUUGGACUUGGAGGUUCAAUGCUCGCCCUUUCUUUUGAAAGCGAGCUCCUCUCAAAUGAAUCAGUGGGGUUCGCUUUGCUGAUCCUUGACGUGAUAAGAUGUUUCUACGUUUUGGGUUUAGCACUGUCCCUUGGACGCCUGCUCCUAACCGUCUCACGGACAAUGAUGGUGCUCUGGUCACCGCCGUCUACAUCGGCGGGAGGCUGGACCCACGAAAAGAAAA